rnacentral:misc_RNA from 1 species
UUUCCGUAGGUGAACCUGCGGAAGGAUCAUUAUCGUACAAAAUGUGAGGGGCAUGCGAGGGCUGUCGCUGACCCAAAAGUCGUCCAUGCCCGAGUGUGUCCUCUUGCAUAAUAAUCCAUCUCACCCUUUGUGCAUCACCGCGUGGGCACCCUUCGGGAUCAUCUCGGAGGGGGGCUCGCGUUUUCACACAAACCCCCCUUUUAAAAGUGUAGAAUGACCACAUUUAUGCAAUCAAUACAACUUUCAACAACGGAUCUCUUGGCUCUC